rnacentral:lncRNA from 1 species
CAAGCAAUUCUCCUGCCUCAGCCUCCUGAGGAGCUGGGACUACAGGUGUUGCCACCACGCCCGGCUAAUUUUCUUUUCUUUUCUUUUCUUUUUUUUUGAGACGGAGUCUCGCUCUGUUGCCCAGGCUGGGAGGCAGUGGCGUGAUCUUGGCUCACUGAAAGCUCUGCCUCCCGGGUUUACGCCAUUCUCCUGCCUCAGCCUCCCGAGUAGCUGGGACUACAGGCGCCCACCACCAAGCCCGGCUAAUUUUU